rfam:Clostridium sp. DL-VIII chromosome, whole genome shotgun sequence.
CUUUGUUACGCAUAUUUAAUCACCUAAGUAUAUUCUAGGUUCCUAAUAAUUGUGUAACAGGUAUAGAAAAACGUAUUGUUAGGUUUUAUAAUUCUUAUUAUCUAUUGUCUAUAAAAAAUAUACUGCUGUGCGGUAAAUAAAAAAAACCGCUAUUGCAGCAGUAUUCUUUUCUUGCUCUCAUUUAAAUAUAGCUAUACGGCGGUUUUGAAUAAUCAAAGCUGUCGUAUUUUUUCAAAUUCAGAAA